UGCCAGCCGCCGCGGUAAUACGGAGGGUGCAAGCGUUGUUCGGAAUUAUUGGGCGUAAAGCGCGUGUAGGCGGUUCGUUAAGUUUGAUGUGAAAGCCCGGGGCUCAACCCCGGAAGUGCAUUGGAAACUGGCGAACUUGAGUACGGGAGAGGAAAGUGGAAUUCCGAGUGUAGGGGUGAAAUGCGUAGAUAUACGGAAGAACACCUGUGGCGAAAGCGCAUCACUGGAUCUUUUCUGACGCUGAGGCACGAAAGCUAGGGUAGCGAACGGGAUUAGAUA
rnacentral:rRNA from 1 species